GGAUUGCCUCCGGGGGGGAAAGAAUAUCUACUGGUCUGCCUUAUCCAACCCGCAGCCGGACUCCAAAACUCUGAAAUCUGGCAAGACUCUUUUCGCUGUUCGAAAUCGAGAGAGGAGACACUGAGAAGGGCAGGGAAAGAACGGUACCCUGCUGGGGAUGGCACUACUUCGUUUACUCUACUUUCCGUCGGCUACUUCCGUCUCCGCCAAGCAGCAAUCUACUGCUACUCUCUCUUCCAAGAAACCUCCGCAGUCUACUGAUCUCAAAGCUUCAUUUCUCUCCUGCUCUACCUUUUCAAUGUCUUCUUUCUCAGUCUCGCAUACCUGUGCUAUUGAAACAAGAAGAAGAACUGGCCUCUUUGUCUUGCGCAUCUCGUCUUCAACACGAUCCCCUGUUCCCUCUUCUUCUUCUUCAGCUUCCUCAGCCGUUACUGUUGAAAACCAUGAGGCGUUAAACCCGGUGGUUGAAUCGGAGCCUGAAGAAAUUUCUCGAACGAGACUAUGUGCUGCGAACAUUCCUUGGACCAGUACUCCCGAGGACAUCCGUGCAUUGUUCGAGAAGCACGGGACUGUCCUUGACGUAGAGCUUUCAAUGUAUAAUAAAACCAGAAACAGGGGUUUGGCCUUCAUCACAAUGGGUUCAGCGGAUGAGGCUCUUGCAGCUCUCAUUAAUCUUGAAUCGUAUGAUGUAGACGGGCGUGCUUUGAAGGUUAAUUAUGCUAAGCCCCAAAAGAAGAAACCUCCCCCUUCUGUGCCACCAAAGCCUAUUUCAAGACAUGAUUUGUUUGUAGCAAAUUUGCCAUAUGAGGCAAGAGGUAAAGAUCUUAGGGAGUUCUUUGAUUCAGGGAAGGAUAAUAUUGUUUCUGCGGAAGUUGUGUUUCAUGGUAAUCCAGGGAGGUGUUCUGGUUAUGGAUUUGUUUCCUUUAGUUCUAAGGCAACGGCUGAGGCAGCCCUUGCUGCUUUUGAAGGGAAGGAUUUUAUGGGGAGACCAAUUAGAGUGGCACAUAGUAGAAGAUUUUCAAAGAAAUCAAAAGUGAGUGUCCAAGCUGAAGAUAAAUCAUCUGAGUCUGAACCCUGCUGCUGAGCACCAAGCCGAAGCUGAUGAUGUCUAAAAUAAAAUUUUUGAUUUGUCCGUUCAAAUUUCAAUAAAGUAGGUGUGCAUUUGAACCAGAGUUUACAUCUUCCUGAAGGCCCCUGAUGAAGCUUGAAACGAGAUGUGUUGACGCUAUUCUGCUGAUUGGCUGGUGCAUGAAUACGAUGGUUUCUGUUCCUAGUAUUGCCUUUGCAAUGCUGAAAACAUCUAAUAGUUGGAAACACACGUACAUAACUAUUCUCUUUGACAGUUCACAGUUGUGGGAGCACAAUUUCCUUCCCAAUUAAAGCCUUUGACUGACUUGCGAAGAGUAAAUAAUUGUGGGCAGCGUUUAUUGACAUGUGAUAUGCUUUCGCAGCUUUGCUCAACGUCUCACCUUGAGUCCAAUAUGCCUGGGAAGAAAGCACAUUAUAAGUUAAUUUGAUUGAGAACAGCGAUCUUCCUGUAGUAAUAAUGCAUCAAAAUAAGUAAAAUUUACUGCCUCCCCACCUCCAAAAAAGAAAGAAAAUUGUGUUCCCAGACUCUUGUCGCUAUUUUGUUUUAGUUUUUUUAUAUGUAAAAGACGAGCCUUGUCAUUUAAUUCUCAUUUUUGUCUCAAGAAUCUUUUGUUGUCUCCACAAUUUUAGGCUGAAACUUAUAUAUAAAAAAAUCCAUGUGUUGGGUUAUGGUCA